rnacentral:rRNA from 1 species
GAUGAACGCUGGCGGCGUGCUUAACACAUGCAAGUCGAACGGAAAGGCUCCUGCUUGCAGGGGUACUCGAGUGGCGAACGGGUGAGUAACACGUGGGUGAUCUGCCCUGCACUUCGGGAUAAGCCUGGGAAACUGGGUCUAAUACCGGAUAGGACGAUGGUUUGGAUGCCAUUGUGGAAAGUUUUUUCGGUGUGGGAUGAGCUCGCGGCCUAUCAGCUUGUUGGUGGGGUAAUGGCCUACCAAGGCGUCGACGGGUAGCCGGCCUGAGAGGGUGUACGGCCACAUUGGGACUGAGAUACGGCCCAGACUCCUACGGGAGGCAGCAGUGGGGAAUAUUGCACAAUGGGCGCAAGCCUGAUGCAGCGACGCCGCGUGGGGGAUGACGGCCUUCGGGUUGUAAACUCCUCUCGCUAGGGACGAAGCGCAAGUGACGGUACCUGGAGAAGAAGCACCGGCUAACUACGUG